GACGGAGGGGGCUAGCGUUGUUCGGAAUGACUGGGCGUAAAGGGCGCGUAGGCGGUUUAUUAAGUGAGGCGUGAAAGCCCUGGGCUUAACCUAGGAGGUGCGUUUCAUACUGGUAAGCUAGAGUGCGAGAGAGGAAAGUGGAAUUCUUAGUGUAGAGGUGAAAUUCGUAGAUAUUAAGAAGAACACCAGAGGCGAAGGCGGCUUUCUG
rnacentral:rRNA from 1 species